ACGAAGGGUGCAAGCGUUACUCGGAAUUACUGGGCGUAAAGGGUGCGUAGGUGGUUUUUUAAGUCUGCUGUGAAAUCCCCGGGCUCAACCUGGGAAUGGCAGUGGAUACUGGAAAGCUGGAGUGCGGUAGAGGGUAGUGGAAUUCCCGGUGUAGCAGUGAAAUGCGUAGAGAUCAGAAGGAACAUCCGUGGCGAAGGCGGCAUCCUGGGCCAACACUGACACUGAGGCACGAAAGCGUGGGGAGCAAACAGGA
rnacentral:rRNA from 1 species